CUUGACUCUGGGAUAAGCCUGGGAAACUGGGUCUAAUACCGGAUAUGACUCCUCAUCGCAUGGUGGGGGGUGGAAAGCUUUUUGUGGUUUUGGAUGGACUCGCGGCCUAUCAGCUUGUUGGUGAGGUAAUGGCUUACCAAGGCGACGACGGGUAGCCGGCCUGAGAGGGUGACCGGCCACACUGGGACUGAGACACGGCCCAGACUCCUACGGGAGGCAGCAGUGGGGAAUAUUGCACAAUGGGCGAAAGCCUGAUGCAGCGACGCCGCGUGAGGGAUGACGGCCUUCGGGUUGUAAACCUCUUUCAGCAGGGAAGAAGCGAAAGUGACGGUACCUGCAGAAGAAGCGCCGGCUAACUACGUGCCAGCAGCCGCGGUAAUACGUAGGGCGCAAGCGUUAUCCGGAAUUAUUGGGCGUAAAGAGCUCGUAGGCGGUUUGUCGCGUCUGCCGUGAAAGUCCGGGGCUCAACUCCGGAUCUGCGGUGGGUACGGGCAGACUAGAGUGAUGUAGGGGAGAUUGGAAUUCCUGGUGUAGCGGUGAAAUGCGCAGAUAUCAGGAGAAACACCGAUGGCGAAGGCAGGUCUCUGGGCCAUAACUGACGCUGAGGAGCGAA
rnacentral:rRNA from 1 species